rnacentral:rRNA from 1 species
GCACAAGCGGUGGAGCAUGUGGUUUAAUUCGACGCAACGCGAAGAACCUUACCAGGGCUUGACAUCCCCUGACCGCGUAUGAAAGUACGUUUUCACCCUCGGGUGACAGGGAGACAGGUGGUGCAUGGUUGUCGUCAGCUCGUGUCGUGAGAUGUUGGGUUAAGUCCCGCAACGAGCGCAACCCCUACGUUUAGUUGCUAACGCGUGAAGGCGAACACUCUAGACGAACUGCCGUUGACAAAACGGAGGAAGGUGGGAUGACGUCAAAUCAUCAUGCCCCUUAUGUUCUGGGCUACACACGUGCUACAAUGGCCGGUACAGACGGAGGCGAAGCCGCGAGGCGGAGCAAAUCCGAAAAAGCCGGUCUCAGUUCGGAUUGCAGGCUGCAAUUCGCCUGCAUGAAGUCGGAAUCGCUAGUAAUCGCAGGUCAGCAUACUGCGGUGAAUACGUUCCCGGGCCUU